AAAAGCCACAGCUUUGAUAGCACCGGUAGAGUUCACAAGCUGCUGGGUCUGAUUCAAGGCUUGUGAACUCUACCGGUGCUAUGAAACUUGUUGCUUCU